rnacentral:rRNA from 1 species
CCUACGGGAGGCAGCAGUGGGGAAUAUUGCACAAUGGGGGAAACCCUGAUGCAGCGACGCCGCGUGAGCGAAGAAGUAUUUCGGUACGUAAAGCUCUAUCAGCAGGGAAGAAAAUGACGGUACCUGACUAAGAAGCCCCGGCUAACUACGUGCCAGCAGCCGCGGUAAUACGUAGGGGGCAAGCGUUAUCCGGAUUUACUGGGGGUAAAGGGAGCGUAGACGGCAGCGCAAGUCUGGAGUGAAAUCCCAUGGCUUAACCAUGGAACUGCUUUGGAAACUGUGCAGCUAGAGUGCAGGAGAGGUAAGCGGAAUUCCUAGUGUAGCGGUGAAAUGCGUAGAUAUUAGGAGGAACACCAGUGGCGAAGGCGGCUUACUGGACUGUAACUGACGUUGAGGCUCGAAAGCGUGGGGAGCAAACAGGAUUAGAUACCCUUGUAGUC